CAAUAGCGUAUAUUAACGUUGUUGCAGUUAAAAAGCUCGUAGUUGGAUUUCUGGAGGGAGCGUCGGCCCGUAUUUACGAGUGCGUGACGUCUCUGUCCAUCCUUGCGGGAAGGCACGGCAUUGAUUUGUUGUGUCGGAUCGCAUCAUUUACUGUGAAAAAAUUAGAGUGUUCAAAGCAGGCUUUCGCUUGAAUACAUUAGCAUGGAAUAAUAAGAUGGGACUUUGGUGCUAUUUUGUUGGUUGAGCCUAAAGUAAUGAUUAAUAGGGAUAGUUGGGGGCACCUGUAUUGCGUUGUCAGAGGUGAAAUUCUUGGAUUUACGCAAGACAAACAGCUGCGAAAGCGUCUGCCAAGGAUGUUUNCAUUAA
rnacentral:rRNA from 1 species